AGGGGUGGAGGGAAAGCACUUUGAAAAGGCGGGUGAGGGGUCCUGCAGGGCGCUCGGCGACUUUCCAAGCCAGGGCCCCCGACAGACAGAUGCCUCUGAGCCCCCAGCCAUUGGACCCAACCAACCUGCCCUGGUGACCCCUCUGCUGGGUGGGCCAGGUUCUCCCCGGAGGGACCCAGCCUUGUGGCUGAGCAACAGCUUCCCCUCCCCAGACACAGGCCCUGAGCCUGGAGAGUGGGACUAGGGGGUUGAGGUCACCCUGCUCCUGUCACCCCCAUCUGCACAUUGGGGUAAAGGGCAGCAGUCACUCGAGAAUUAAACAAGGAGAGAGCCAGUUGCCCUGAGCGGGGGGAGGAGAGGAUGUCUGGGGGCCUGGAGGGAGAGUGGCGUCUGCUUUCCUCAUCCUGAGGAGAGAGGAUCUGCAGAAGGUUCCACAGCCCAGAGGAAGAAAGCAGGAGAGUCAGGUGCCUCGGAAAGAGAGUGGAGAGCAAAGCUGCUUCUCACAGUGAGGAGAGUGUCCCCUGUCAUCGUCCCCGCCCCCAACCCCAGAGUCAGCAGGGGCUCCGACAAAGGGGGAGAGAACAAUUCUCUCCAGGAGGUGGCGCAGCCCCUGCCUGGGGAGCUUCAUCUGAAGUCCAGGCCCCCAGCGGAGGCCAGAGCCCUCAGCCUCCCCAGGCCCGAGGUUCUUCACUGGGGCAGGAACAGGCAGCGGGGCACUGCCCCCAGGGGAGAUCUCGGCUGCAGGAAGAAGCGGCUGGUUUCCUUCAGGAGGAUCCCGAUGCACUAUGACAAGACUCAGCAAGGCUGUGAUUCAAGCCUUUGACUUCGGGGUUGCCAGGCACUGCGGCAAAGCCGUUCCCCUGAGCUUAUUUACCAGCCAUAUAU
rnacentral:lncRNA from 1 species